GUGAUAUCCUGUCUGAAUAUGGGGGGACCAUCCUCCAAGGCUAAAUACUACUGACUGACCGAUAGUGAACCAGUACCGUGAGGGAAAGGCGAAAAGAACCCCUGUGAGGGGAGUGAAAUAGAACCUGAAACCGUGUACGUACAAGCAGUAGGAGCAGGCUUUGUCCUGUGACUGCGUACCUUUUGUAUAAUGGGUCAGCGACUUAUAUUCAGUGGCAAGGUUAACCAUCUAGGGGAGCCGUAGGGAAACCGAGUCUUAACUGGGCGUUCAGUCUCUGGAUAUAGACCCGAAACCAGGUGAUCUAGCCAUGGGCAGGUUGAAGGUUGAGUAACAUCAACUGGAGGACCGAACCGACUAAUGUUGAAAAAUUAGCGGAUGACUUGUGGCUAGGGGUGAAAGGCCAAUCAAACCUGGAGAUAGCUGGUUCUCCCCGAAAGCUAUUUAGGUAGCGCCUCGGACGAAUACUACUGGGGGUAGAGCACUGUUAAGGCUAGGGGGUCAUCCCGACUUACCAACCCUUUGCAAACUCCGAAUACCAGUAAGUACUAUCCGGGAGACACACGGCGGGUGCUAACGUCCGUCGUGGAGAGGGAAACAACCCAGACCGCCAGCUAAGGUCCCAAAUUACUACUAAGUGGGAAACGAUGUGGGAAGGCUCAGACAGCCAGGAUGUUGGCUUAGAAGCAGCCAUCAUUUAAAGAAAGCGUAAUAGCUCACUGGUCGAGUCGGCCUGCGCGGAAGAUGUAACGGGGCUAAGUAGUAAACCGAAGCUGCGGCAAUGUGCUUUUGCACAUUGGGUAGGGGAGCGUUCUGUAAGCGGUUGAAGGUGUGUGGUAACGCAUGCUGGACGUAUCAGAAGUGCGAAUGCUGACAUGAGUAACGAUAAAGGGGGUGAAAAACCUCCUCGCCGGAAGACCAAGGGUUCCUGUCCAACGUUAAUCGGGGCAGGGUAAGUCGACCCCUAAGGCGAGGCCGAAAGGCGUAGUCGAUGGGAAACGGGUUAAUAUUCCCGUACUUCUUACAAUUGCGAUGGGGGGACGGAGAAGGCUAGGUGGGCCUGGCGACGGUUGUCCAGGUUCAAGUGCGUAGGCUUAAGAGUUAGGUAAAUCCGGCUCUUUCUAAGGCUGAGACACGACGUCGAGCUACUACGGUAGUGAAGUCAUUGAUGCCAUGCUUCCAGGAAAAGCCUCUAAGCUUCAGAUUGUAAGGAAUCGUACCCCAAACCGACACAGGUGGUCGGGUAGAGAAUACCAAGGCGCUUGAGAGAACUCGGGUGAAGGAACUAGGCAAAAUGGUACCGUAA
rnacentral:rRNA from 1 species